rnacentral:rRNA from 1 species
GAUGAACGCUGGCGGCGUGCCUAAUACAUGCAAGUCGAGCGAACAGACGAGGAGCUUGCUCCUCUGACGUUAGCGGCGGACGGGUGAGUAACGCGUGGAUAACCUACCUAUAAGACUGGGAUAACUUCGGGAAACCGGAGCUAAUACCGGAUAAUAUAUUGAACCGCAUGGUUCAAUAGUGAAAGACGGUUUUGCUGUCACUUAUAGAUGGAUCCGCGCCGCAUUAGCUAGUUGGUAAGGUAACGGCUUACCAAGGCAACGAUGCGUAGCCGACCUGAGAGGGUGAUCGGCCACACUGGAACUGAGACACGGUCCAGACUCCUACGGGAGGCAGCAGUAGGGAAUCUUCCGCAAUGGGCGAAAGCCUGACGGAGCAACGCCGCGUGAGUGAUGAAGGUCUUCGGAUCGUAAAACUCUGUUAUUAGGGAAGAACAAAUGUGUAAGUAACUAUGCACGUCUUGACGGUACCUAAUCAGAAAGCCACGGCUAACUACGUGC